rnacentral:tRNA from 1 species
GGAGGGGUAGCUCAGUAGGUAGAGCGGCGGACUGAAAAUCCGUGUCCUGCGCGAGGUUCGAUUCCUGCCUCCUCCA